rnacentral:rRNA from 1 species
AUGACGAAGAUCCAAUGUGCUACAGAAAUAAUGAUCAAAAACACAUUAGAAAAAAAAUUACUACUUGCCAGACUUACAUCAUUUUUCAACAUGCAAGAAGAAGAAAAACUGCAAGAUUAUAACAUGGUAAGCAGAUCAGCUUGCGUAUAUGUUAUGAAAGGUUAUUUUUUUUAUUUUAUGUUUCUAAAUAUAAGAAGAUUUCCAAAUAUUUUAUUUUUAUUUUUUGUUUUGCAGUUCCUUCUACCAUGUUCGUUGCACGGGUUUGAGCAAGACGAAAAUACAAGUCAUUACUUCACCAUUACAGUUAACAUGCAAAAACAGCACUUUGAACUCCUUGACUCUUCAACUGCAUAUCCAGGCACAAUAGAAUUCUUCAACAAUGUAACCAACAAAUUAAUGAAAAUAUGGAAGCAUGUAAGCACAGAGCUACAACUUUCACAAAAAAGCAUCGACCAUUUCAAAAGGGUCAAACUACAUGUGCCACUUCAAGGAGAAGACAUGUAA